UUAUGGGGAUGACGACUAUUCCUGAAACUUCUACGUUCUGUGGGAGGCUCCUACUCAUCACACUCCUCGGAGCUGGAUAGAGGAGACGGUGAGCACUCAGCUCAGGCUUUUCCUGGCUCCCUUUGCCUCCCAGUGAUCAUGCAGUGACAUUUCUUACCAUUAUUUUGGCACUGGCACCAUAGUGAUGGUUAGCUAAGAGAAAACCACCUCCCCUUUGGUGUCUGCCAAUGGUGUGAUGGAGCCAGCCCUUACCAGCUCACUGGAGCCCACUGCCUCAGCCCGCCUGAUUCAGCGACAACUGAAUUGAUCCAUGUCCCACCCAGAGUGGACAUUUCUCUCCCACCUAUCUACUCGGUAUUGCCCAAGUCUUCCAAGAGAGCAGGUGUCGGUUCAUAAACAAGCGUGCUCUAUCUGGAUGCCCAAUGAGAACGUCUCCCAGGGCUACUUGGGAAACCACUGAAGGGAGAGAGAGGCUCUUCGCGCUGAAGUGGCUGGAACUUUGGGGCCGUGGUGAAAAAACCCUCAGGACUGUGAAGCAAACGAAAGAAAAAAAAAAGGAAAGUCAUACAAGUCCUCCUAGCACCAUGGGAGUCCUGGGCUCCGCGCUAAGUUCCAUUAUUUCCAUAUCGUGAGUCAAUAAAGGCUUUUUUAAGGUCA